rnacentral:rRNA from 1 species
AACGAACGCUGGCGGCAUGCCUAACACAUGCAAGUCGAACGAGACCUUCGGUUCUAGUUGCGCACGGGUGCGUAACGCGUGAGAACCUGCCCUUAGGUUCGGAAUAACUCCCCGUAAGGGGUGCUAAUCCCGUAUAAUUGCUUCGGACCAAAGAUUUAUUGCCUUUGGAUGGGCCCGAGUUGGAUUAGCUAGUUGUUAGGGUAAAAGCCUACCAAGGCGACGAUCCAUAGCUGGUCUGAGAGGAUGAUCAGCCACACUGGGACUGAGACACGGCCCAGACUCCUACGGGAGGCAGCAGUGGAGAAUAUUGGAGCGUGGGCGAAAGCCUGAUGCAGCCAUGCCGCGUGAGUGAUGAAGGCGUUAGGGUUGUAAAGCUCUUUUACCCGGGAUGAUGAUGACAGUACCGGGAGAAUAAGCGCCGGCUAACUACGUG